UGAAAAAGGCCUACCUUGAGGUUAUCCUA
rnacentral:piRNA from 1 species